UACGGAGGGUGCGAGCGUUGUCCGGAAUCACUGGGCGUAAAGGGCGCGUAGGCGGCCUGAUAAGUAGGGGGUGAAAUCCUGCGGCUUAACCGCAGGGCUGCCUUCGUAAACUGUCAGGCUAGAGCACAGUAGAGGCAGGUGGAAUUCCCGGUGUAGCGGUGGAAUGCGUAGAUAUCGAGAGGAACACCAGUGGCGAAGGCGAGUCUCUGGACGACACCUGACACUGAGGCACGGAAAGCUAGGGAGCAAACAGG
rnacentral:rRNA from 1 species